AGAGUUUGAUCCUGGCUCAGAUUGAACGCUGGCGGAAUGCUUUACACAUGCAAGUCGAGCGGCAGCGCGGGGGCAACCCUGGCGGCGAGCGGCGAACGGGUGAGUAAUGUAUCGGAACGUACCCAGUCGUGGGGGAUAACUAUCCGAAAGGAUAGCUAAUACCGCAUACGUCCUGAGGGAGAAAGCGGGGGAUCGCAAGACCUCGCGCGAUUGGAGCGGCCGAUAUCGGAUUAGCUAGUUGGUGAGGUAAAGGCUCACCAAGGCGACGAUCCGUAGCUGGUCUGAGAGGACGACCAGCCACACUGGAACUGAGACACGGUCCAGACUCCUACGGGAGGCAGCAGUGGGGAAUUUUGGACAAUGGGGGCAACCCUGAUCCAGCC
rnacentral:rRNA from 1 species